rnacentral:rRNA from 1 species
AGAGUUUGAUCAUGGCUCAGGACGAACGCUGGCGGCGCGCUUAACACAUGCAAGUCGAACGCUCUCACUCCUUCGGGAGUGGGGGAGUGGCGAACGGGUGCGUAACACGUGAGCAACCUGCCCCUGACGCGGGGGAUAACCGGGGGAAACUCCGGCUAAUACCGCAUGAGACCACGACCUCCUCGGGGGACGUGCUUAAAGGUGCUGCAAGGCACUGCGCAGGGAGGGGCUCGCGGCGUAUCAGCUAGUUGGUGAGGUAACGGCUCACCAAGGCAACGACGCGUAGGGGGUCUGAGAGGAUGGCCCCCCACAUUGGGACUGAGAUACGGCCCAGACUCCUACGGGAGGCAGCAGUGGGGAAUCUUGCACAAUGGGCGCAAGCCUGAUGCAGCGACGCCGCGUGAGGGAUGAAGGCCUUCGGGUUGUAAACCUCUUUCAGUAGGGAAGAAGCGAAAGUGACGGUACCUGCAGAAGAAGCGCCGGCUAACUACGUGCCAGCAGCCGCGGUAAUACGUAGGGCGCAAGCGUUAUCCGGAAUUAUUGGGCGUAAAGAGCUCGUAGGCGGUUUGUCGCGUCUGCCGUGAAAGUCCGGGGCUUAACUCCGGAUCUGCGGUGGGUACGGGCAGACUAGAGUGCAGUAGGGGAGACUGGAAUUCCUGGUGUAGCGGUGAAAUGCGCAGAUAUCAGGAGGAACACCGAUGGCGAAGGCAGGUCUCUGGGCUGUAACUGACGCUGAGGAGCGAAAGCAUGGGGAGCGAACAGGAUUAGAUACCCCGGUAGUCC